rnacentral:rRNA from 1 species
CGGACGGCUGAGUAACGCGUGGGAACGUGCCCCAAAGUGAGGAAUAAGCUCAAGAAAUUGAGUCUAAUGCCGCAUAUGCUCUUCGGAGUAAAGCUUCGGCGCUUUGGGAGCGGCCCGCGUCCGAUUAGAUAGUUGGUGAGGUAAAGGCUCACCAAGUCUACGAUCGGUAGCUGGUCUGAGAGGAUGACCAGCCAGACUGGAACUGAGACACGGCCCAG